rnacentral:rRNA from 1 species
AGAAGGUUCCUUCGGGAACUGGAGAGUGGCGCACGGGUGAGUAACGCGUGGGGACCUACCUCUUAGUGGGGGAUAACGGUUGGAAACGACCGCUAAUACCGCAUACGCCCUUCGGGGGAAAGAUUUAUCGCUAAGAGAUGGACCCGCGUUGGAUUAGAUAGUUGGUGAGGUAACGGCUCACCAAGUCAGCGAUCCAUAGCUGGUUUGAGAGGAUGAUCAGCCACACUGGGACUGAGACACGGCCCAGACUCCUACGGGAGGCAGCAGUGGGGAAUAUUGGACAAUGGGGGCAACCCUGAUCCAGCCAUGCCGCGUGAGUGAAGAAGGCCUUCGGGUUGUAAAGCUCUUUCAGAUGCGAAGAUGAUGACGGUAACAUCAGAAGAAGCCCCGGCUAAUUUCGUGCCAGCAGCCGCGGUAAUACGAAAGGGGCUAGCGUUGUUCGGAUUUACUGGGCGUAAAGGGCACGCAGGCGGUCUUGCCAGUCAGGGGUGAAAGCCCGGGGCUCAACCCCGGAACUGCCUCUGAUACUGCAAGACUAGAGACUAGGAGAGGGUGGUGGAAUUCCCAGUG